UACAGAGGUCUCAAGCGCUGUUCGGAUUCAUUGGGCGUAAAGGGUGCGUAGGCGGCCAACUAAGUCGGAUGUGAAAUCCCCAGGCUUAACCUGGGAACUGCAUCCGAUACUGGAUGGCUUGAAUCCGGGAGAGGGAUGCAGAAUUCCAGGUGUAGCGGUGAAAUGCGUAGAUAUCUGGAGGAAUACCGGUGGCGAAGGCGGCAUCCUGGACCGGCAUUGACGCUGAUGAGCGAAAGCUAGGGGAGCAAACGGG
rnacentral:rRNA from 1 species